UCAAGCGUUAUCCGGAAUCAUUGGGUUUAAAGGGUCCGUAGGCGGGACAAUAAGUCAGCGGUGAAAGUCUGUGGCUCAACCAUAGAAUUGCCAUUGAUACUGUUGUUCUUGAGUGUUUAUGAAGUGGUUGGAAUAUGUAGUGUAGCGGUGAAAUGCAUAGAUAUUACAUAGAACACCGAUUGCGAAGGCAGAUCACUAAUAAAAUACUGACGCUGAUGGACGAAAGCGUAGGUAGCGAACAGGAUUAGAUACCCUGGUAGUCAAGGGCG
rnacentral:rRNA from 1 species